GAAAAGUAGUGAUGGGGAAACAAAGCUUCCUGAAGCAUUGGCUCUUUCCAGAUAAUUGUUUUUUUUUAAAAAUAGUUUCAUUACUCAAGGCUUUGAGCGACACAGAAUUUAGAACAGCCACAUUUUGAAAGAUGACGUCCCACACCGUAGCAGAGUAGCCUUCAUGUCUUCUACGAAACCACUGGCCUUGAUCGAGAGCAUCAAGUCUAUGCUGCAUUGUGGGUAAACGGUGACUGGCUGACUGAUUUAUAAAUAAUAAUGAGUAGUUAUUUAUGAUGCAAGGUGAUUUGUAAAUUAGUGAGUCAGCAGCCACCUGCACUGUCGGCUGCAAAGUCGAACGAGCCCAAUACCAAACCAAUCAGGUGUUCGACGAAAUGAUUCUUCAGACGUCAUUGAUCACGUGCUGCUGAUAAAGGGACACUGCUUUGAAUUAUACCGCUUAGCGACUUCAGUACAUGCCUCAUAGCUUCAGUCUCAAACUUAACCCCGUUCCUGCUGAAGAAGAGGAGGUCUGCUGGAUGGAGAAGGAAGCUCUCGUGAAAGAGGAGGAGGCUGUUACAAUAUAAAAACAAGUAGAGGUUGAGGCUGUUACCGUGAAAGAAUAAGAGAAAGACGUCUCAGUUAAAGAAGACUCGUUCAGAAUGAAAGAGGGCGACGACGUUUCAGUGAAAGAAGUGGAGGGGGAGGUGACUGUGUCAUCGAACAAUGAAGAAGAGGAGGAAACUGGAUAUCUGGGCCCGGUUUCACAAACGCAUCUUAAGGCGUCCGAUGGAUCUAACGAUGAACAGGCCCUGAUUAACACUAGAGAGAGACCUGACUAUCGUGGAUCCUCUGGGGGGCCUCAACAACCUCAUGAUGCUGACCGGGCAGAGAAGAGACUCUCCAAAUCAAAACACCUCAAGAAACACCAGCAGAGACCCACAGGGAAGAAAUCUCAUUGCUGCUCUGACUGUGGGAAAGGUUGCAAAUCUUCAUCAGAACUUAAAAUACACCAGAGAACACACACAGGAGAGAAACCUUAUAGCUGUGAUCAAUGUGGGAGGAGUUUUGUUCAAGCUAGCCAUCUGACUAAACACCAGAGAACACACACAGGAGAGAAACCUUAUAGCUGUGAUCAAUGUGGGAGGAGUUUUAAUACAUCUAGCGGUCUGACAGUACACCAGAGAACACACACAGGAGAAAAACCUUAUAGCUGUGGUCAAUGUGGGAGGAGUUUUAAUACAUCUAGCGGUCUGACAUUACACCAGAGAAAACACACAGGAGAGAAACCUUACAUGUGUGAUCAAUGUGGGAGGAGUUUUGUUAAAGCUAGCCAUCUGACUCAACACCAGAGAACACACACAGGAGAGAAAUCUUAUAUGUGUGAUCAAUGUGGGAGGAGUUUUGUUCAAGCUAGCCAUCUGACUCAACACCAGAGAACACACACAGGAGAAAAACCUUAUAGCUGUGGUCAAUGUGGUUGGAGUUUUACUACAUCUAGCCAGCUAACUUCACACCAGAGAACACACACAGGAGAGAAACCUUUUAGCUGUGAUCAAUGUGACAAGAGAUACUCUGAUAAAAGAUCUCUGAUCAAACAUCAGAAAAUACAUACAUGAAGAAGUUGUUUCAUGAUAUCUCUGAAAUAAUGUCACAAUGUAAAAUGUUUUAACAUUGUAGUAGGAGUAUUUUAAUGAUGUCACAAUGUAGAAUGUUUUAACAUUGUAGUAGGAGUAUUUUAAUGAUGUCACAAUGUAGGAUGUUUUAACAUUGUAGUGGGAGUAUUUUAAUGAUGUCACAAUGUAGAAUGUUUUAACAUUGUAGUAGGAGUAUUUUAAUGAUGUUCUACCUUAUCGUUUACCCUGUUCAAUUGAUUGCAGCAUGAUAUGGAUAUUAACCUCAGGGGGAAAUCCAGGCUCUGAAUUGAAAGAGUAUUAUUAAA